rnacentral:rRNA from 1 species
AACGAACGCUGGCGGCAGGCUUAACACAUGCAAGUCGAACGCCCCGCAAGGGGAGUGGCAGACGGGUGAGUAACACGUGGGAACAUGCCCAAAGGUACGGAAUAUUCUCGGGAAACUGGGAGCAAUACCGUAUGUGCCCGAAAGGGGAAAGAUUUAUCGCCUUUGGAUUGGCCCGCGUUGGAUUAGCUAGUUGGUGGGGUAAAAGCCUACCAAGGCGACGAUCCAUAGCUGGUCUGAGAGGACGACCCGCCACACUGGGACUGAGACACGGCCCAGACUCCUACGGGAGGCAGCAGUGGGGAAUAUUGGACAAUGGGGGCAAGCCUGAUCCAGCCAUGCCGCGUGAGUGAUGAAGGCCCUAGGGUUGUAAAACUCUUUCGUGGGGGACGAUAAUGACGGUACCCCAAGAAGAAGCUCCGGCUAACUUCGUGCCAGCCGCCGCAGUAACAC